AAAACUUCCACAGUUUACUGAUUACUGGAACUUCCAGUUUACCCUUCACUAUAUUUUCUAUCACUCAUGGUAAUAUUGUUGCAGGCUACAUCAUCACAAUCCGCACAGUACGCAGGCAUAAAAGACAUGGACAUAGAUCAACAAUCUUAUGCUUGGGAUCAGACUAAAAACCAUAACAACACUGAUGAUGAGAACGAUAAGACGGAAACAAAGAAGCUGAAGCUUCAAGAAUAAGACAAGCGCAAAUGGUUCUUGGGGAAGCAUUUUGGUCAGCAAAGACACUUGUAAGU